GAUUCAUUCCGAACUGAACCUUCGAAUCGGAUAGUUUGCUUGAAAUAUCAGUGGAUAUCGUGUUGUAUUUCACAGUGUUAAAAAAAUGUUCGUUUUAGUUUUUUGGAUUAAAACCUUGCAAAAGUCUGUUAUUAACGAAAAAGACAUUUGCAUUCCAUCGAGCCCAGACGUUACAGCAGAAGUAGGGGAUAUUGUACUAUAGUGAAAUGGGGAAAAUCUAAGUCUCAAACGAAGAUUCUCCGAUACAUCAGGUCUAAAGAAGAAUUAGAAAAAAUAAAUGUUGGGGAAAGAUGGGAACAUCAUUGAUAAAGCAACAAGAAACUCGAAAAAAAACAAUUCAACAAAAAUAUUGCAGAGAAAAAAAGUUUUAGUAAAUUCAAACUAUUAUCUCAAAAAGCUUGUAAGCAAACUGAGAAAUAUUAUAAUGAAGAACUUUUAUCGAGUUUACUUGAAAAAAAUUGCGAAGAUGAAGAUAAUUACACAGAUGACGAUGAGAUAGUAGCCGAUACAAUUCGAGAUGACAAUAAAACAUCAGAAAUCGAUGAAAUCAGUAAAUCAUGUCAUAUUUCAGUUUCCGAUAAUAGUAUUAGUACCACGUGCGAACUUUGUUCAUCAUUACCUGUAACAUUAGUUACUGCAUAGGCUAUCAUGUGUAUGGAACAUGUUUUAAAAUUUUUAAAGACUAUAUAUUAUCAGAAAGUAUCUAUUGAAACAGCAAAUAGUAGUGUAAGUAAUGAGUAAAAUAAUAAUGCAUUAUACUCCUGUAUAAGAAAAUUUAAAUUAAUUUUAAAUGUAAUAUUUAAUAAU